rnacentral:misc_RNA from 1 species
AUGCAAAAUCGCCAAAUCUGUUAAUUCGCUGAAAGUAGCUGGUUAUUUCUUUUUAGAUGCAUCAUUUAUACACUCCAUUCUUUUCAUGAAUAUCCUAGUUUUUACUAUUCCAAUAGAAAGCUGUGCCUCCACUCUCCCCGUUCUUUUCAUUCUGAAGUUCUUUGUUUGUUCAAUAUGAAAUUCCUAAAAAAUUCCCAGCAUUUUUACUGGGCAGUCUGUACCAGAGAAAAUUACACUGAACCCCAAUCUUGCUUUAUUCUUGAAUCUUGACAUUGGUUUGUUUCUCUUUAACCCUAACUGUUUAGCAUUUGGCAUGAUGACAUUGUUUUUCUCUGAAUAUGGUUAAGUCCAAUGCGCUACAGAUUUUCUCCGCUAUUAUAGUCUGGAAAGGUGGAGUCAUUGAGGGA